rnacentral:rRNA from 1 species
GAUGAACGCUGACGGCGUGCCUAAUACAUGCAAGUCGAGCGAACAGACGAGGAGCUUGCUCCUCUGACGUUAGCGGCGGACGGGUGAGUAACACGUGGAUAACCUACCUAUAAGACUGGGAUAACUUCGGGAAACCGGAGCUAAUACCGGAUAAUAUAUUGAACCGCAUGGUUCAAUAGUGAAAGACGGUUUUGCUGUCACUUAUAGAUGGAUCCGCGCCGCAUUAGCUAGUUGGUAAGGUAACGGCUUACCAAGGCAACGAUGCGUAGCCGACCUGAGAGGGUGAUCGGCCACACUGGAACUGAGACACGGUCCAGACUCCUACGGGAGGCAGCAGUAGGGAAUCUUCCGCAAUGGGCGAAAGCCUGACGGAGCAACGCCGCGUGAAUGAUGAAGGUCUUCGGAUCGUAAAACUCUGUUAUUAGGGAAGAACAAAUGUGUAAGUAACUAUGCACGUCUUGACGGUACCUAAUCAGAAAGCCACGGCUAACUACGUG